AUGGCACCCAAGGCGGCGGAGAAGAAGCCGGUGGCGGUGGCCGCGGAGAAGACGGCGGCGGGGAAGAAGCCCAAGGCGGAGAAGCGGGCGGCGGCGACCAAGGAGGCCGGCGGCGAGGGGAAGACGAGGGGCCGGAAGAAGGGCAGCAAGGCCAAGAAGGGCGUGGAGACGUACAAGAUCUACAUCUUCAAGGUGCUCAAGCAGGUGCACCCGGACGUCGGCAUCUCCUCCAAGGCCAUGUCCAUCAUGAACUCCUUCAUCAACGACAUCUUCGAGAAGCUCGCCGGCGAGUCCGCCAAGCUGGCGCGAUACAACAAGAAGCCCACCAUCACGUCCCGGGAGAUCCAGACCUCCGUCCGCCUCGUCCUCCCCGGCGAGCUCGCCAAGCACGCCGUCUCCGAGGGCACCAAGGCCGUCACCAAGUUCACAUCAUCAUAG
rnacentral:rRNA from 1 species